rnacentral:rRNA from 1 species
UACAGAGGGUGCAAGCGUUAAUCGGAAUGACUGGGCGUAAAGGGUGCGUAGGUGGUUAGCUAAGUGAGAUGUGAAAGCCCUGGGCUUAACCUAGGAAUGGCAACUCAUACUGGCUAGCUAGAGUAGGAGAGAGGGAAGUGGAAUUCCGGUGUAGCGGUGAAAUGCGUAGAUAUCGGAAGGAACAUCGAUGGCGAAGGCAGCUUCCUGGCUCCUAACUGACACUGAGGCACGAAAGCGUGGGGAGCAAACA